AUCACCACGAGAAUCUGGGUUCGGCGCGAUUUCUGGAGCAUGAAGCAUGCUAGGGCGCACGGCAUACGGCCGCCGCAUUUGCCGCCUGUUUUUUGCUGGGAUUACCGCCUGCUCCGGCGGCGUUCGAGGUUUUGCUCAAACGACCCUAGGGGAAAGAGGAAAUACUUGGUCCGUGCAUAUCAAACAUGGAAAUGAAGCAGCGCUGUGCGACAACCUUCGCCAGAAUCAUAUCGUCGAGGGGUUUUUCCGAUUUGAGAGCUCAAAUGCUUCGGCGUAUUACUGAUUCGAUCAAGGCCAAGAUCUCCGCACCUACCACUGGCAGGUGGAAUAUGGUGCUUCCCCUGCCCGGGCCGUCCACGACUUUUAUCUCGCCAGCGGCUAAGCCAUGAACUGGGUCAUUGCUCGAUUUCAUCCGACGCUGCGUCG
rnacentral:lncRNA from 1 species